GAAACUAACAAGGAUUCCCCUAGUAACGGCGAGUGAAGAGGGAAGAGCCCAAGAUUGAAAGCUGGCACCUUCGGUGUCCGCAUUGUAAUCUCAAGAAACAUUUUCCGCUUCGGACCAAGCCUAAGUCUCUUGGAAAAGAGCAUCGUAGAGGGUGAGAAUCCCGUACAUGGCUUGGAGCGCCCGAGGCUUUGUGAUAUGUUUUCUAAGAGUCGAGUUGUUUGGGAAUGCAGCUCAAAAUGGGUGGUAAAUGCCAUCUAAGGCUAAAUAUUGGGGAGAGACCGAUAGCGAACAAGUACCGUGAGGGAAAGAUGAAAAGAACUUUGAAAAGAGAGUUAAACAGUACGUGAAAUUGCCAAAAGGGAAGGGUAGGAGGUCAGAGAUGCGGCUUGGGAUUCAGCCUUGCUUUUGCAUGGUGUUUUUCCCAUUUUGCAGGCCAACGUCGGUUUUGGGCACUGGAGAAGGGUAGGAGGAACGUGGCACUCUUCGGGGUGUGUUAUAGCCUCCUACUGGAUACAGCGACCGAGACCGAGGAACGCAGCGUACUCGAAAGAGCGGGCCUUCGGGCACCUUUACGCU
rnacentral:rRNA from 1 species